GACGAACGCUGGCGGCGUGCCUAAUACAUGCAAGUAGAACGCUGAAGGAGGAGCUUGCUUCUCCGGAUGAGUUGCGAACGGGUGAGUAACGCGUAGGUAACCUGCCUGGUAGCGGGGGAUAACUAUUGGAAACGAUAGCUAAUACCGCAUAAGAGUAGAUGUUGCAUGACAUUUACUUAAAAGGUGCAAUUGCAUCACUACCAGAUGGACCUGCGUUGUAUUAGCUAGUUGGUGGGGUAACGGCUCACCAAGGCGACGAUACAUAGCCGACCUGAGAGGGUGAUCGGCCACACUGGGACUGAGACACGGCCCAGACUCCUACGGGAGGCAGCAGUAGGGAAUCUUCGGCAAUGGACGGAAGUCUGACCGAGCAACGCCGCGUGAGUGAAGAAGGUUUUCGGAUCGUAAAGCUCUGUUGUAAGAGAAGAACGAGUGUGAGAGUGGAAAGUUCACACUGUGACGGUAUCUUACCAGAAAGGGACGGCUAACUACGUGCCAGCAGCCGCGGUAAUACGUAGGUCCCGAGCGUUGUCCGGAUUUAUUGGGCGUAAAGCGAGCGCAGGCGGUUAGAUAAGUCUGAAGUUAAAGGCUGUGGCUUAACCAUAGUACGCUUUGGAAACUGUUUAACUUGAGUGCAAGAGGGGAGAGUGGAAUUCCAUGUGUAGCGGUGAAAUGCGUAGAUAUAUGGAGGAACACCGGUGGCGAAAGCGGCUCUCUGGCUUGUAACUGACGCUGAGGCUCGAAAGCGUGGGUAGCAAACAGG
rnacentral:rRNA from 1 species